ensembl:lncRNA
GCAAAAUUAUGAAUUCUCAUCCACAUCCACAGAUGGUCAAAGAACAAUAGGCACCGGAAUGAAAAUGAGGUGGUCAAGCAUGAUCUCUGCCUUUUAUUUGACUGUCGGGGUAAAACAGAUUGAAAAUAGACCUAUCUCGUUGAAUACAAUCUUAAAAAUGAAGAAAAACACAAUUAUUAGUUUCACGUCACAAUAUUUUUAAUUUCCCCUUAAGUCUGCUGCACAUGCUUGUGUGUGUGUUGCACUCUAGGAAAGGACGCGUUGUUGCUCGUGUCCAUCUCCAGUCAGUGCUGCAGUGGAUUAGUCAGCUGCAUUUAUUUAAAGGUAGUGCAGAGAGUGCAGGAGCCUCGGCUCAGUGUGCAAGUGUCAGAUCUUGAAGAUGCAGCGCAUCUACAUGCACAGCAAUGAACACUUUGAAGUCUUCACCACUGUCCUUGCUCCACAAGGGAGGUAUCGGUACAGAGCAGAAGCUGAAAAGGCAAGAUAAACAUUUCCCUUCAUUUAAAUAUCCAUCUUAAUAAAAAUGCAUCUGUUGAUCUCAUAUUGUGUUGGCCAUGAACUGCAGAAUAAUGACAAACAGAUUAUUAAUGUUUUCUAAAUGUAAUGUGUGCUAGAGACUGACAAGUUUGACAUUGACGUUAUGUGAGGUCAGCAGAUAUGAUGUUGUGUCAGUCAAUUUCCCGUGGCUCUGUAAUGUGUUUCAUUCAUCUAACUCCUCAGACCAACAUGGACUAUAUUUAGGAGAAACAGAUAAUGAAUAGUACACCCAGAUUUAGGGUUUCUAUUUCACUGCACAGCAGUUAAUCUGGACACAUAAUCCUCUGACCCAGAGCAUAGAGCAGAGAGCAUCUAGACGGUGACUUCAGCUUAUAUUAGACCAGCGAAAACAGAAGCAACAAACCAUUCCUUUACUUAAACUCUGUGUAAAAUUUGAUCUUGCAGUUUGAGAUGAAAACAACAGGCUGUAACUCUCCCUCUGUCCAACAGAUGGUAGUGGUGCACAGCUACAGGCCCAGCUGGCCAGAUGAGCUGGAGCUGUGUGCAGGUGACGUCAUCCUGGUGCUGUCGAAACAUGAGGAGGAGAGGUGGUUUGGGCGGCUGCAGGACGGCCAGCGGGGCUACUUCCCCGCCUCCUGUGUGAUGGAGCUGAGCCAGGUGAAUCUUCCUCCAAGAGCCGUGCGAAGGAGCGUGUCUCUGAGGAGCUAUGCCUGUGAGAACGACUCCGGUAUACGUGGCAGAAAGUAAGUGUAAUAUUCAAGCAGUGGCCACAACAACAAACACACAUGUCCCCCUCGGCAAGUGCAUGCAUACACAUCGUUCACACACCCAGCACCCAGCAGCUGUUCAAUCACCGAACCCCCAACACAUCCCCCAACCCCAAAUCCCAUCCCACCGCUCUCCGCCCAGCACCCCUGAACAGGUGGCCCCUCUGUCCCUCAUUAGUUGACAAAGCACACUGAUUACUAACCCCCCUGAACACACGCAUACAUGCAGGCUCACACACACACACACACACACACACACACACACACACUAGUCGAUCCCCUCUCACUGCACUGCAUCUCAUUAAGAUCGAAAAGGAGCAGGAGGGAAAGGAAAGACUUUGAAGUGUUUUCAUCUAAAGGGACAAGAAAAUGUUUGACAGCUCAUUGAAAUCUUGUCGGAAUAUUUGUGAAAGACUGACAACAUUUUCUCGGUGUUGCAGCAGAUGAUAGGGUACUGUAUCUCUCUGGUAGUUUAUUUGACAGCAGGGGGGCAUUUAUUUUUGACAGCCUGCCACUGAACUUUGCUCACACACACUCACAUAAACACACACACACACACACCACACAGAGCCCUCUGUACGGCUCCGUGCCUGUCUUGUCUGCUAGCGGAGGAAUUUGGGUCAUGAGGAAUAAACAGCGCCUUUGUGUUUGUUAUUUCCUCUUUGUCCCCCAGUGGACACAUUCUACAGGCGCUCAGGAGGGGGAGCAGAGGAGGUGGAGCAGGAGGUGGAGGGGGAGGAGGAGGAGGGGGAGCCGGGCUGGAUGGGAGCCAAGGCGAGAGCGAGGGCCCCUUCCCGGCGCGGAGGCCCCAGGUCCCUGCACCUCAGCCCGCGGCCUCCCAACCUCAGACACACAGAUCCCCGGGCCUCCUCCACAGGAUCUUGUCCAAGUGCCGGAAAAAGAGUGAAUGCCAGGGAGCCACGAACGGGGCCUUUGAGGGCGACUAAGAGGCCCUCCUCUUUGUCAUGUGUGGCCGAGAGGAGUUCACUUUGGUGGGGCUACGCUGGGGGAGGAAGCAUGAAAAGACGGGUCUUUGAUCAUUCCUGAUGAUGGCAGGUUAAUAAUUGUCAAAUCAGGUGUUUCUUGAUCCGGCCGCAUUUCAAAAAGCAAGAGGUUGAAUGGGGAUUGUGCGAAGCGGACAAUAUCAGUGAUGUCACAGACGAUAUUCUGCCCAUUGCAUCUGAUGGACUGUGCCUGAUGUGACAUCACUGAUGGGGGCGGGGCUACACAUGCAAACAUACCUGAACGUUUGAAUGUCCAGAGAGCUGAGCAGCUGCUGUUUUUCUGCCCCGUUUACCCUUAUAGCAAGAUGAAAUGCCAGGCUCAUGCUUUGGAAAAUAUAUAAAUGCAAUCACUGCGUUCAUUUGUGUAACAAAGGGCAGUAAUUUUAAGAGUUGGUGGCAACCAAUGAGGCAAUAAGCGAUGCUUUAAUUAUCAUAUGUAGCCUUUUUCCAGGACCUGCUGCUGUUAGCCAAGAGAAAUGGUUUGCACUAUAUAUCAAGGUCCAUGUAAUAAGAGUUGAUAAUAGCAUUUACUGUUGAUUAUAAGGCAUUUAUAUGCAAGAAAUAUAGCAAUUUAUAGACUGCCAAAGAAUAUUAAAGGUCCAGUGUGUAGAAUUUGGGAGAAUCUACUGGCAGAAAUGGAAGAUAAUAUUGGACAUGAUUAUAUUUUUAUUAGUGUACAAUCACCUGAAAGUAAGCAUCAUUGUGUUUUUGUUACCUAAGAAUGAGCCUUUCACAUCUACAGGGGGCGCGGGUCAUCUUUCACUAUGUCCACCAUGUUGCACUGCCAUGUUUCUACAGUAGCCCAGAACGGACAAACCAAACACUGACACUAGAGGGAGAUUCAGUUGGUUUUCGAUCUGCAACCUCACUGCUAGAUGCCUCUAAAUCCUACACACUGGACCUUCAAAGGUUAAGUUCACCCAAAAAUGAACAUUCAGUUGUCAUCUACUUACCCCCACGCCGACUGAAAGUCAGGUGAAGCUUCAUAGUCCUCAAAGACAUUUUUGGAGCAUCACGUCAAAACAGUGUUGCAGCAUUCUCCUAAACAACUGAAGUAAAUGGGGACUGAUUUUUUAAACAUAAAAAAUAUAUAUAUUUAAAAAGCCUCCAAGCAGCUUGUCUGUCAUAAUCCAAGUCUCAGGAUAUUUACACCUUUUUUAAAGCAAAAAUAUUCAUUUUAGGUGCUAAGCUAAAAGUGUGCAAACAUUGAGCGCAUCGUGUGUAUAAGUAAUGUCUUCUCAAAUAAGUUUGAGAUCUCGGGGCUUCCAGAGACUUGGAUGAUGGCAGACGAGCUGUAUUGAGCCAUUUUAAGUUUAAGUUUAAAUUUUGUUUAUUUUUUCAGUUGUUAUUUUCACAUUUUAAAACAAGUCCCCAUCUACUUCAGUUGUUUAGGAGAUUGCUGCAACCCUGUUUUGCUGUGAACGUCCAGGAAUGUUUUGUGGACUUGGAAACUUCACCUGACUUUCCAUCAGCGUUGUGGUGAGAAGACAAUGACUGAAUUUAAAUCUUUAGAUGAACCUAUUCUUUAACAAAAGCCUUAUGAGUUUCCUUUAAUUGUUUAUUUAGAAUAAUACAUACCUCAUUAUACUUUUGUUGCAGCUGUUGGAUUCAAAACAAGUACAAUGGCUUACUAUGGUCAUUAAAUUCUUCAUAGUGACAUAUAUGUCUUUAUAAGGACUUAAUUGGACCUUAUCACCUGUUAACUAAUGCUUAUUACAAGGAACUUUAUAUAAAGCGCUGCCGAGAAAUGUUAUUUUUGUUCCAAUAUUCAUGUGUCUUAACUUCAUCUGCUAAUGUGAGUCCAUUUAUAGGUAUAUAUUUGGCUGCUUAAUAUGCAAUAAUUAUUAUGAUUAUAAAACCAGUAAACCCUUCCAGGCUAACGUGUUUUUAUUUCAGUGGAAACAUGCCUCAGUAUAUUACCUCAUACCUCAGCUCCUGUUCAUUUUCCUUUGAACACUGCUGGGCCUCCCUCCUAUUUAACAGUGCUGGAGGAAAAAAGCAACUCUCUCAAGCGAAAGGAAGUGUGAUUGAGGCCUGCUGAAAGCCUCGCCAAAGGAGCGGGGAUUGUGCCGGUUGCCCCAGCAACCCUAAAGCAGCUCUCAGAUGUCGCAUGUAGUCUUCCUCGUCUUCUUCUUCUGUGGUGCCUCCCAGCAUGUUUCCGUAGCAGGGUCUCUAUAGGGUGGGCUGUAGAUUGCCUCCUUCCAGAGGACACAAAAAAAACUCAAACCUAAUCCUAACCUUGGCCUUGACCUCCGUGGGGAAACACACUUCUCCUCCUCCCCCACCGUUUGAUAUUCACUGUUGUAUAAUCCUUUGUAAUAAAGGCUGUAGGAG